GUCGAACGAGAACCCAGAGUUUGCUUUGGGGGAAAGUGGCAAACGGGUGAGUAACACGUGGGUAACCUGCCUUCGGAUGGGGGAUAGCACUAGGAAACUAGUGGUAAUACCGCGUAACGUACCGCUGACACAAGUCGGCAGUAUUAAAGACGCUUUCGGGCGUCGUCUGAAGAUGGGCCCGCGGACUAUUAGUUAGUUGGUGGGGUAAGAGCCCACCAAGGCGACGAUGGUUAGCCGGCCUGAGAGGGCGUACGGCCACAUUGGGACUGAGAUACGGCCCAGACUCCUACGGGAGGCAGCAGCUAAGAAUAUUCCGCAAUGGGCGCAAGCCUGACGGAGCGACGCCGCGUGGAGGAUGAAGGCUUUCGAGUUGUAAACUCCUUUUCUUAGGGAAGAAUAAGGUUGGUAGGAAAUGACCGAUCGAUGACGGUACCUAAGGAAUAAGCCCCGGCUAAUUACGUGCCAGCAGCCGCGGUAAUACGUAUGGGGCAAGCGUUGUUCGGAUUCACUGGGCGUAAAGGGCGUGUAGGCGGUGUGGUAAGUCGGAUGUGAAAUCUCCAGGCUCAACCUGGAAACUGCAUUCGAAACUGCCAUGCUUGAGUACCGGAGAGGGAGACGGAAUUCCUGGUGUAGGGGUGAAAUCUGUAGAUAUCAGGAAGAACACCGGUGGCGAAGGCGGUCUCCUGGCCGGAUACUGACGCUGAGGCGCGAAAGCUAGGGGAGCAAACAGGAUUAGAUACCCUGGUAGUCCUAGCUGUAAACGUUGUGCACUAGGUGUAAGUGGUUUCAACCCACUUGUGCCGUAGC
rnacentral:rRNA from 1 species